UCCUACAGUCAAACCCUGCUGGCCUUGUUAGCCAUAUCCCCUGGGAGCUCCACCUCUUUUUUCAAGACCCCAGGCUGGGGGUUCUGAUGUGGGGCAGCUCAGAACUUUCAUCCUGUGGGAGAAUAUCUGUGGUGUAAUUUUUUUCCAGUUUGUGUGUUAUCUACUCAGAGCUUCAACAUGAAGGCCCUGAUUACUGCUGCAUCACGGCUGUGUCUGUUGGGUCAGCCACAAGAGGAGAGAAUAUAGCAUGUCUACUGCUACAGCUGCUGCUUCAACGGGGAGAGAGUACUGUUGUGACCACUGUGCCAGCCAGGAGAGAGUUUGCGUUGUGCUGGGUUAUGCUAUGGCUGCUGCAACAGCUGCUGCAUCAGCCAGGAGAGAAUAAAUGUGUCUGUAGUUCCUGCAGCUCCUCAAGUCUCCUUCCAGCCUCUUAGCUCGUGCCUUGCCUACCUUGAGUUCAACAAACAGUGCGAACAGUAUGAACAGCAAGACAAUUGGCACUGUGAACAGGAUCAGCGAUACAACUGAUGCAGUUGGCACGAUACCCAGCAGGUAGAGGAGCCUGAGGUUCCACUGAAUGGAGGGAGCCAGGGACCACCAGAUGGCAUGUGCAAUCUUGUGGCUGUGAUCUGCUCAGCAUGGGCUCUGGUGGAAGCCUGGGAGGCAGCAGAUAGUUACCAGGGAGCGUUGAAAAGGUGUUACAGGUGCUAUGCUGAACACGGUGGCACCGACUGCUUCUGGCACCAUGGAUUUCCCUGACUGCCUUGAAGGCAAAUAUGUAUAGUGCCCUACACAAUGGCACACUGGUACACAAUAUGCAGAGACAGUUGGAAGGACUAGAGCAAAGUAUGUUAGCAUUAGAGGAAGAGCUCCGUGGUCAUGAAGAACCCAGCAUCUCUGACAGCGAGGUGACAAAGAUGGAGAAGCUCUAUAUGGUCAGCACAAACAAG